GAAGCGCGGGACACCCCUGCACCAGCACCCAGCAGCCGACCUCCACAGCAGCACCAACAGAGGGGACAACACAGGCAAUAGGGCAGGAACCAGCAAAUGAACCACCUCCAGCAGCCCCACAGCAGGAUGCUCCUCAGCCACCUGAAGACGAAGCCCCCAACCAGACAGUAGAGGCUCGUCUCAGCAGGAUUGAGGACCGAAUGCAAAGAAUGGAGCACUUGUUGGACCUGCUGGUGAAC
rnacentral:lncRNA from 1 species